CAGAACUCCGCAGUUAAGUGCGCUUGGGCUAGAGUAGUACUGGGAUGGGUGACCUCCCGGGAGGUCAUGGUGUUGCACCCU
rfam:Picea glauca, whole genome shotgun sequence.